CAGCAGCCGCGGUAAUACGAAGGUCCCGAGCGUUAUUCGGAAUCACUGGGCGUAAAGGGAGCGUAGGCGGCGCGGUAAGUCAGAUGUGAAAUCUCAAGGCUCAACCUUGAAACUGCAUCCGAUACUGCCGUGCUAGAGUAAUGGAGGGGUAACUGGAAUUCUCGGUGUAGCAGUGAAAUGCGUAGAUAUCAAGAGGAGGACCAACGGCGAAGGCAGGUUACUGGACAUUUACUGACGCUGAGGCUCGAAGGCUAGGGUAGCGAAAGGGAUUAGAUACCCCUGUAGUCCUAGCAGUAAACGAUGUGCGCUUGGUGUGGGAAGGUUCGACCCUUCCGUUGCCGAACUAACGCGUUUAGCGCACCGCCUGGGGAGUACGGUCGCCAGGACUAAACUCAAAGAAAUUGACGGGGACCCGCACAAGCGGUGAAUUAUGUGGCUUAAUUCGAUGCCACCCGAAGAACCUUACCUAGGCUUGA
rnacentral:rRNA from 1 species